CUUGCUACAGGCUUAACACAUGCAAGUCGAGGGGCAUCAGGAAGAAAGCUUGCUUUCUUUGCUGGCGACCGGCGCACGGGUGAGUAACACGUAUCCAACCUGCCCUUUACUCGGGGAUAGCCUUUCGAAAGAAAGAUUAAUACCCGAUAGCAUAAUGAUUCCGCAUGGUUUCAUUAUUAAAGGAUUCCGGUAAAGGAUGGGGAUGCGUUCCAUUAGGUUGUUGGUGAGGUAACGGCCCACCAAGCCUUCGAUGGAUAGGGGUUCUGAGAGGAAGGUCCCCCACAUUGGAACUGAGACACGGUCCAAACUCCUACGGGAGGCAGCAGUGAGGAAUAUUGGUCAAUGGGCGCUAGCCUGAACCAGCCAAGUAGCGUGAAGGAUGAAGGCUCUAUGGGUCGUAAACUUCUUUUAUAUAAGAAUAAAGUGCAGUAUGUAUACUGUUUUGUAUGUAUUAUAUGAAUAAGGAUCGGCUAACUCCGUGCCAGCAGCCGCGGUAAUACGGAGGAUCCGAGCGUUAUCCGGAUUUAUUGGGUUUAAAGGGAGCGUAGGUGGACUGGUAAGUCAGUUGUGAAAGUUUGCGGCUCAACCGUAAAAUUGCAGUUGAUACUGUCAGUCUUGAGUACAGUAGAGGUGGGCGGAAUUCGUGGUGUAGCGGUGAAAUGCUUAGAUAUCACGAAGAACUCCGAUUGCGAAGGCAGCUCACUGGACUGCAACUGACACUGAUGCUCGAAAGUGUGGGUAUCAAACAGGAUUAGAUACCCUGGUAGUCCACACAGUAAACGAUGAAUACUCGCUGUUUGCGAUAUACAGUAAGCGGCCAAGCGAAAGCAUUAAGUAUUCCACCUGGGGAGUACGCCGGCAACGGUGAAACUCAAAGGAAUUGACGGGGGCCCGCACAAGCGGAGGAACAUGUGGUUUAAUUCGAUGAUACGCGAGGAACCUUACCCGGGCUUAAAUUGCAGUGGAAUGAUGUGGAAACAUGUCAGUGAGCAGUCACCGCUGUGAAGGUGCUGCAUGGUUGUCGUCAGCUCGUGCCGUGAGGUGUCGGCUUAAGUGCCAUAACGAGCGCAACCCUUAUCUUUAGUUACUAACAGGUUAUGCUGAGGACUCUAGAGAGACUGCCGUCGUAAGAUGUGAGGAAGGUGGGGAUGACGUCAAAUCAGCACGGCCCUUACGUCCGGGGCUACACACGUGUUACAAUGGGGGGUACAGGAGGCAGCUAGCGGGUGACCGUAUGCUAAUCCCAAAAUCCUCUCUCAGUUCGGAUCGAAGUCUGCAACCCGACUUCGUGAAGCUGGAUUCGCUAGUAAUCGCGCAUCAGCCACGGCGCGGUGAAUACGUUCCCGGGCCUUGUACACACCGCCCGUCAAGCCAUGGGAGCCGGGGGUACCUGAAGUACGUAACCGCAAGGAUCGUCCUAGGGUAAAACUGGUGACUGGGGCUAAGUCGUA
rnacentral:rRNA from 1 species